ACAGCAGUAGCCGCGGUAAUACAGAGGAUGCAAGCGUUGUCCGGAAUUAUUGGGCGUAAAGGGCUCGCAGGCGGUUUCUUAAGUCUGAUGUGAAAGCCCCCGGCUCAACCGGGGAGGGUCAUUGGAAACUGGGAAACUUGAGUGCAGAAGAGGAGAGUGGAAUUCCACGUGUAGCGGUGAAAUGCGUAGAGAUGUGGAGGAACACCAGUGGCGAAGGCGACUCUCUGGUCUGUAACUGACGCUGAGGAGCGAAAGCGUGGGGAGCGAACAGGAUUAGAUACCCCUGUAGUCCCUGUCUCUUAUAA
rnacentral:rRNA from 1 species